rnacentral:rRNA from 1 species
AGUGAACGCUGGCGGUAGGCCUAACACAUGCAAGUCGAACGGCAGCACAGUAAGAGCUUGCUCUUACGGGUGGCGGGUGGCGGACGGGUGAGGAAUACAUCGGAAUCUACUUUUUCGUGGGGGAUAACGUAGGGAAACUUACGCUAAUACCGCAUACGACCUACGGGUGAAAGCAGGGGUUCUUCGGACCUUGCGCGAUUGAAUGAGCCGAUGUCGGAUUAGCUAGUUGGCGGGGUAAAGGCCCACCAAGGCGACGAUCCGUAGCUGGUCUGAGAGGAUGAUCAGCCACACUGGAACUGAGACACGGUCCAGACUCCUACGGGAGGCAGCAGUGGGGAAUAUUGGACAAUGGGCGCAAGCCUGAUCCAGCCAUACCGCGUGGGUGAAGAAGGCCUUCGGGUUGUAAAGCCCUUUUGUUGGGAAAGAAAAGCAGCAGGUUAAUACCCCGCUGUUCUGACGGUACCCAAAGAAUAAGCACCGGCUAACUUCGUG